rnacentral:lncRNA from 14 species
CAGUCAUGUAGCUGGGGACCACCCAUGCACCUUCGCCUGCUGUCGGGGCAGCAUUGAGAAUGAAGAUGUGGAUUUGCACACCCUGAUUCCUUCUGUGUUCCCUCUGCCAGAGGUUAGAAAAGAGGUUGUUUGCCUGAAGAGAUAAGGGUGUGGUGAAAAUGCUCCAUGCCAGCCAAGUGAACCAAAACACUAUCUGAAUUACAAAGCAGGCUGGAAUAGAAAAUUGAACUGACAGAGGGUCUGGACCCCACUUCUACUGAGAGACAGAGACAAAGAGAGUCCCAGGAACUGGCCAUGUACAGCUCCCUAAAGGGAACGCUGCUGAUGACUUCUUUCCUACAAUCAAGACAGAAGAGGGCAGAAGGGAAAAAUCUACACUCUGGUAUUGGCUAUUGGAUGUACUUCAUCCCUGGUAUGGCAUCUGCAGUAAGAAAUUGACCCUGAUGAGUGGGCAUUCAGGUGUCCUCACCUGCAGGAGACAGGACACAACUGUCAGGCUGAAUUAGGCUCAGUUGUGUAGGGAUUUUAAAAUCUCCCUGGGUAACAGACAUGGAAGACUCACACUGGCCUGGGCUGAAGAGUUGCUGAGUAAAAAUUCGUGUAUUUAUUUAUUUCCUUAGGAAAAGUAUAAGAAAGCAAACAAUUUGGUCACAUAUUUGGGCCUAGACUUCUCAGCAAAGUUUUGCAGAGUCCCCUAAAAAGUCAGAGGAUUUAGUAAAUAUAUCAUGAAAUAUUGCCUAAC